AAUCAAACUAGAUUGAUGAGAAUUAAAAUGUGGUAGCACUUAUGCCAAGCUUUUCUCUUCAUUCUCUGAAGUGUCUGAAAUCUCUUAAUUGUAUUUGAACCAUUACAUAGGUGAGCCUAUUUAUAGACAAAGACAAGGGACUAAAGAGAAAAAUUACAAAGAAACUAAUUAGGAAAUAAAGAAAUACAGAUAUGGAAGAAAUCCCAAUAGAAAUAGGAAAAGAAAAGUAAAAGAUUCCUAAUUAAUAAAAUGCUAG
rnacentral:misc_RNA from 1 species